UGCCCGGUAGUGUAAUUGGUAACACUCGAGAAUUUGGAUCUCGCUUUCCAGGUUCGAACCCUGGCUGGGCAG
rnacentral:tRNA from 1 species